UAAAGGACUAUUAGGUUAAUUCACUCUAAGACACGAGGCAUUUGUUGUAAAAUUGCGCAGCCUAUUUCGUGGUGUGUAGGUAGGAUUGUAAAGUGCUGCGACAAACCAUUCUUGGUCUCAUUAACCUAGACUGCUUGAAACAAAGGUUACUGGGCAUUGGCAAUAUGAGCGAAUAUAUAGAACUGAAAUGGAAUUCACACUCCUCCACUUUCACGAAGAAUCUUUGCAAUUUAAGAGAACAGCAAAUCUACACUGAUGUCACUAUUUCCUGUGGGGAUCAGUUUUACCCAGCACAUCGACUGGUUCUGUCAUCUUGUAGCAGCUUUUUUGAAAAAUCGCUAGAGAUGACUAAUUGUAAAUCUCCUGUUCUCCUACUUUAUGGCAUAGAACAAUUCAUAUUAGAACAUUUGUUAAUGUUCAUGUAUGAUGGACAGGUAUGGAAAGUAUAGUAGAUUUGUAGUACAUAAGUCUUUUUAUUAAACAUUUUUUUUUAUCUUCACCUUUUUACCUUUAUGGGAAUGCCCAUUUUGAAU